GGGAGGCAGCAGUAGGGAAUCUUCCGCAAUGGACGAAAGUCUGACGGAGCAACGCCGCGUGAGUGAUGAAGGUUUUCGGAUCGUAAAGCUCUGUUGUUAGGGAAGAACAAGUACCGUUCGAAUAGGGCGGUACCUUGACGGUACCUAACCAGAAAGCCACGGCUAACUACGUGCCAGCAGCCGCGGUAAUACGUAGGUGGCAAGCGUUGUCCGGAAUUAUUGGGCGUAAAGGGCUCGCAGGCGGUUUCUUAAGUCUGAUGUGAAAGCCCCCGGCUCAACCGGGGAGGGUCAUUGGAAACUGGGGAACUUGAGUGCAGAAGAGGAGAGUGGAAUUCCACGUGUAGCGGUGAAAUGCGUAGAGAUGUGGAGGAACACCAGUGGCGAAGGCGACUCUCUGGUCUGUAACUGACGCUGAGGAGCGAAAGCGUGGGGAGCGAACAGGAUUAGAUACCCUGGUAGUCCACGCCGUAAACGAUGAGUGCUAAGUGUUAGGGGGUUUCCGCCCCUUAGUGCUGCAGCUAACGCAUUAAGCAUUCGCCCUGGGAUCCCCCUCAGGGCCC
rnacentral:rRNA from 1 species